rnacentral:rRNA from 1 species
GUCUACGGCCAUGCCACUAUGAACAAGCCCGAUCCCAUCUGAUCUUGGAAGCUAAGCAGGGUCGGGCCUGGUUAGUACUUGGAUGGGAGACCACCUAGGAAGACCAGGUGCUGUAGGUG